AUUGAACGCUGGCGGCAUGCCUUACACAUGCAAGUCGAACAGCAGCACGGGAGCUUGCUCCUGGUGGCGAGUGGCGAACGGGUGAGUAAUACAUCGGAACGUACCCUGAAGUGGGGGAUAACGUAGCGAAAGUUACGCUAAUACCGCAUAUUCUGUGAGCAGGAAAGAGGGGGAUCGCAAGACCUCUUGCUUUAGGAGCGGCCGAUGUCGGAUUAGCUAGUUGGUGAGGUAAAGGCUCACCAAGGCGACGAUCCGUAGCGGGUCUGAGAGGAUGAUCCGCCACACUGGGACUGAGACACGGCCCAGACUCCUACGGGAGGCAGCAGUGGGGAAUUUUGGACAAUGGGCGCAAGCCUGAUCCAGCCAUGCCGCGUGAGUGAAGAAGGCCU
rnacentral:rRNA from 1 species